rnacentral:rRNA from 1 species
GUGGGGAAUUUUGCGCAAUGGGGGAAACCCUGACGCAGCAACGCCGCGUGAGUGAUGAAGGCCUUCGGGUCGUAAAGCUCUGUCAGAGGGGAAGAAGUGUGGGGUGGCUAAUAUCCAUUUCACUUGACGGUACCUUCAAAGGAAGCACCGGCUAACUCCGUGCCAGCAGCCGCGGUAAUACGGAGGGUGCGAGCGUUGUUCGGAAUUAUUGGGCGUAAAGCGCGUGUAGGCGGUUUUUUAAGUCUGAUGUGAAAGCCCUGGGGUCAAGCAGGGAAGUGCAUUGGAAACUGGGAGACUUGAAUACGGGAGAGGGCAGUGGAAUUCCUGGUGUAGGAGUGAAAUCCGUAGAUAGCAGGAGGAACACCGGUGGCGAAGGCGGCUGCCUGGACCGAUAUUGACGCUGAGACGCGAAAGCGUGGGGAGCAAACAGGAUUAGAAACCCCGGUAGUCC